rnacentral:rRNA from 1 species
GUGCCAGCAGCCGCGGUAAUACGUACGAGGCGAGCGUUAUCCGGAAUUACUGGGCGUAAAGCGCGCGCAGGCGGAUGCUUAAGUAGGGCGUGAAAUCUCCCGGCCUAACUGGGAGGGGUCGCUCUAGACUGGGCGUCUCGAGGACUGCAGAGGUGGGUGGAAUUCCUGGUGUAGUGGUGAAAUGCGUAGAGAUCAGGAGGAACACCGGUGGCGAAGGCGGCCCACUGGGCAGUCACUGACGCUGAGGCGCGAAAGCUCGGGGAGCGAACGGGAUUAGAUACCCCCGUAGUCC